CUUCCAUGGCUCAAGUGUCUACUUCUACAGCAUGCAAGUGGGAUAAUGUCCCAGGAAUAUUCAUUACAUACUUUGAACUCUUUGUAUCAGCUGGUUGAAUCGAGAGUUUCCACAUUAAAAUCUGCCAUUCAUCUGUCAAGUUGCUUAGACGUUCUUUACCCAACGGUUGUUGAUGAAGGUCAAACAGUGCCGGUAAUCUAUGAGGAUAAUGAUGAUAGUGAAGAAGAAGAUUCAGAAGCCUUGGAUACUGACCAAAAUAGCAUUUGAUUUAAUCCAAGGGAAGUAUCUUCAAGCA